rnacentral:rRNA from 1 species
CCGCCGGCGACCGGCGCACGGGUGAGUAACACGUAUGCAACCUGGCCGUGACAGAUGGAUAACCGGGAGAAAUCCCGCCUAAUACAACAUAAUGCCGGGAGGGGACAUCCCCUGCCGGCCAAAGGGGGCGACCCCGGUCACGGAUGGUCAUGCGGCGCAUUAGGUAGUUGGUGGGGCAACGGCCCACCAAGCCGACGAUGCGUAGGGGUUCUGAGAGGAAGGUCCCCCACAUUGGAACUGAGACACGGUCCAAACUCCUACGGGAGGCAGCAG